AAAAAUAUUUGCUUCUUAUUGAUUAGCUUUUUUUUUUUUUAACACAAAACAGAGAUGUUCACUGUGACCUCAAGUGGAUUCUUCUCCACCAAUCCAAAAUUUUAUCCCAGGAGACACCAGCAAUCAUUUGCAGGAGAUAUUGAUCAACCAGAGAAUGCACAUUUCUGAACCAGAUCCCUGGUGAGGUUGAUGGGACAGUAGCAGGAAGCUUGUUUUGUGGAUUUGGAAAUGAAAACCCAAGAGAGUCUGAGAAGCCCUAUGUGCCACAAGUCCUCUGUCUGCCCCCGGCCACUGCCAGCAUCACGAGGCCAGGUGAGCUUUGUUCUCUAUCGUAUUCAUGGGUUCUGCUACUACGCCUAAUGAAGAGGUGCCUCAUGAACCUUGAGUCAAAAUAAGCAGUGGAUGGAUAUCUUUGUU
rnacentral:lncRNA from 1 species